rnacentral:lncRNA from 1 species
GCACCAAAGUACAGUGAGUUGCUUGCAAGUCAUAAUGGUGAUCUUAGGUCGGAAGGAUACUUAUACCCAUAACCUUCAUGAGCUACCCUAGACAGCCGAAUGCUCCCCAGUUGGUCAUGUUCAGUGACGAUGUACUCCUACAUUUCAUAUGUAUGCCAUAUCAGUGUCUCCAUACCAUUUGAUUAUGAGGACAACCAAUACAUAUGGCAUACAAUGACCUACACUUGAUAUCGCUAUCGUCCUAGCAAUAGCGUAUCGU